GUCUUCGGAUGCUGACGAGUGGCGAACGGGUGAGUAAUACAUCGGAACGUGCCCGAUCGUGGGGGAUAACGCAGCGAAAGCUGUGCUAAUACCGCAUACGAUCUACGGAUGAAAGCGGGGGAUCGCAAGACCUCGCGCGGACGGAGCGGCCGAUGGCAGAUUAGGUAGUUGGUGGGAUAAAAGCUUACCAAGCCGACGAUCUGUAGCUGGUCUGAGAGGACGACCAGCCACACUGGGACUGAGACACGGCCCAGACUCCUACCGGAGGCAGCAGUGGGGAAUUUUGGACAAUGGGCGAAAGCCUGAUCCAGCAAUGCCGCGUGCAGGAUGAAGGCCUUCGGGUUGUAAACUGCUUUUGUACGGAACGAAAAGACUCUGGUUAAUACCUGGGGUUCAUGACGGUACCGUAAGAAUAAGCACCGGCUAACUACGUGCCAGCAGCCGCGGUAAUACGUAGGGUGCAAGCGUUAAUCGGAAUUACUGGGCGUAAAGCGUGCGCAGGCGGUGAUGUAAGACAGAUGUGAAAUCCCCGGGCUCAACCUGGGAACUGCAUUAGUGACUGCAUCGCUGGAGUGCGGCAGAGGGGGAUGGAAUUCCGCGUGUAGCAGUGAAAUGCGUAGAUAUGCGGAGGAACACCGAUGGCGAAGGCAAUCCCCUGGGCCUGCACUGACGCUCAUGCACGAAAGCGUGGGGAGCAAACAGGAUUAGAUACCCUGGUAGUCCACGCCCUAAACGAUGUCAACUGGUUGUUGGGAAUUCACUUUCUCAGUAACGAAGCUAACGCGUGAAGUUGACCGCCUGGGGAGUACGGCCGCAAGGUUAAAACUCAAAGGAAUUGACGGGGACCCGCACAAGCGGUGGAUGAUGUGGUUUAAUUCGAUGCAACGCGAAAAACCUUACCCACCUUUGACAUGUACGGAAGAUCGCAGAGACGCGAUUGUGCUCGAAAGAGAGCCGUAACACAGGUGCUGCAUGGCUGUCGUCAGCUCGUGUCGUGAGAUGUUGGGUUAAGUCCCGCAACGAGCGCAACCCUUGCCAUUAGUUGCUACAUUUAAUUGAACACUCUAAUGGGACUGCCGGUGACAAACCGGAGGAAGGUGGGGAUGACGUCAAGUCCUCAUGGCCCUUAUAGGUGGGGCUACACACGUCAUACAAUGGCUGGUACAAAGGGUUGCCAACCCGCGAGGGGGAGCUAAUCCCAUAAAGCCAGUCGUAGUCCGGAUCGCAGUCUGCAACUCGACUGCGUGAAGUCGGAAUCGCUAGUAAUCGUGGAUCAGAAUGUCACGGUGAAUACGUUCCCGGGUCUUGUACACACCGCCCGUCACACCAUGGGAGCGGGUUCUGCCAGAAGUAGUUAGCCUAACCGCAAGGAAGGCGAUUACCACCGCAGGGUUCGUGACUGGGGUUAAGUCCUAACAAGGUAACCGUAUCG
rnacentral:rRNA from 1 species